CAGCCGCCACGGUAAUACGGAGGGGGCUAGCGUUGUUCGGAAUUACUGGGCGUAAAGCGCACGUAGGCGGCUUGGUAAGUUAGAGGUGAAAGCCUGGAGCUCAACUCCAGAAUUGCCUUUAAGACUGCCGAGCUAGCAGGUGAGAGAGGUAAGUGGAAUUCCGAGUGUAGAGGUGAAAUUCGUAGAUAUUCGGAAGAACACCAGUGGCGAAGGCGGCUUACUGGCUCAUACUGGACGCUGAGGUGCGAAAGCGUGGGGAGCAAACAGGAUUAGAUACCCCCGUAGUCCCUGUCUCUUAUAA
rnacentral:rRNA from 1 species